GGCGUGGUCAUUGUGAGGUCGUCAUGGGAAGGCGGGGCCGGCGGGGGAGGUCGGGGGGUGUACAAGGAUAGGGGCGUGGUCAAUCGGGAGGGGCGGGGCCUGCAAGAAGAGUGGAGGGCGGAGGGCAGAAGGGACUGGGGAAGGGGCGAGGCCUGGAAGAAUAGAGGCAGAGGCGGGAGCGGCCGAUCUUGGCGGAUCCCGCCUCCUCGCGACUCGGCCCCCAGGUCACAUCCCUCCGUCGGUGCCCGCCACCCACUCACCGUGGGGCUCCCGUGCGGCAGGUACACCGGGUAGUCGCGAGCGGUCUGCGGCGGCAGGGACCCCACCAGCCAGGGGAGCAGCACGGCCUCGGGCGUCCCCAGCCGCCACCAACCCUCUGUUGCUGCCACCACCCGGCCGGACACCACCAGACUGACGAAGGUCGUGCCCGCGGCCUCAGCGAACCCGGAGAGGGCUUCCUGGGUACGGGAGGCAGGAGGACUGGGAGUCAGCAGACAAGCGUAGGGGGUGGCAGCGACUUCCCAGAUGGGCAGGGAAUGGGGAGAAACCCACAGCCAGCCCCGAGCUCGCGCAGUGGCCAUGCUCCUACGUCUCACCCUCUCUGAGCCUGAGUUCCUUCACUUUCAUACGAAGUCACAUCCCCAACUCACACUGUGAAGUCUGUGAAAUCUGAUUAAACAUCUAGCCUGGGCGGGCAAA
rnacentral:lncRNA from 1 species